GAACAGAUCUGGACUGGCUCGCAUUGUCGACGUGCAUCCUCUACAGACUUCCUUCGUGGUCUGUGAAUUAGUUAUCUACGUCAAAGUUGAGGAUCCAGCUGUGCUCGGAGAUGCAGCUGCACUACCCGCAGCUGGCUGAAGACGUGGCGCAUCUCAAGAAGCUGAUUGAGGACCUCAGGAGAUUGCAGCAAGCAGAAGCUGCAGGCAGCUCUGCUCAACCAGAUGAUUCCGAUCGGAACAGAUCUGGACUGGCUCGCAUUGUCGACGUGCAUCCUCUAAGAACUUCCUUUUUGGUCCCUGAAUUAGUUAUCUACGUCAAAGUUCGUAAGUAACUGAACCGAG